rnacentral:rRNA from 1 species
AGCGAACGCUGGCGGCAGGCCUAACACAUGCAAGUCGAACGAACUCUUCGGAGUUAGUGGCGGACGGGUGAGUAACACGUGGGAACGUGCCUUUUGGUUCGGAAUAACUCAGGGAAACUUGUGCUAAUACCGAAUGUGCCCUUCGGGGGAAAGAUUUAUCGCCAUUAGAGCGGCCCGCGUCUGAUUAGCUAGUUGGUGAGGUAACGGCUCACCAAGGCGACGAUCAGUAGCUGGUCUGAGAGGAUGACCAGCCACACUGGGACUGAGACACGGCCCAGACUCCUACGGGAGGCAGCAGUGGGGAAUCUUGCGACAUGGGCGAAAGCCUGACGCAGCCAUGCCGCGUGAAUGAUGAAGGUCUUAGGAUUGUAAAAUUCUUUCACCGGGGACGAUAAUGACGGUACCCGGAGAAGAAGCCCCGGCUAACUUCGAG